rnacentral:rRNA from 1 species
UGGGGAAUUUUGGACAAUGGGCGAAAGCCUGAUCCAGCAAUGCCGCGUGUGUGAAGAAGGCCUUCGGGUUGUAAAGCACUUUUGUCCGGAAAGAAAUCCUUGGCUCUAAUACAGUCGGGGGAUGACGGUACCGGAAGAAUAAGCACCGGCUAACUACGUGCCAGCAGCCGCGGUAAUACGUAGGGUGCAAGCGUUAAUCGGAAUUACUGGGCGUAAAGCGUGCGCAGGCGGUUUGCUAAGACCGAUGUGAAAUCCCCGGGCUCAACCUGGGAACUGCAUUGGUGACUGGCAGGCUAGAGUAUGGCAGGAGGGGGGUAGAAUUCCACGUGUAGCAGUGAAAUGCGUAGAGAUGUGGAGGAAUACCGAUGGCGAAGGCAGCCCCCUGGGCCAAUACUGACGCUCAUGCACGAAAGCGUGGGGAGCAAACAGGAUUAGAUACCCUGGUAGUCCACGCCCUAAACGAUGUCAACUAGUUGUUGGGGAUUCAUUUCCUUAGUAACGUAGCUAACGCGUGAAGUUGACCGCCUGGGGAGUACGGUCGCAAGAUUAAAACUUAAAUGAAUUGACGGGGUCAUAGCUGUUUCC